UGGCAACGCAUUUGACUUGUAAUCAAAAGAUCCCCAGUUCAAUCCUG
rnacentral:tRNA from 1 species